UGGCUCAGUUGGUAGAACAUGGUGUUUGCAACGCCAGGGUUGUGGGUUUGAUUCCCAU
rnacentral:tRNA from 1 species